UACGUGGGUCAUAAUAUUAAUCACAAGACUAUCUUAAAGAGAGAACGAAGAAUCAAAACUAUGAGAAUGUAUAGAGAUGACAAGGAAAUUGAAUGAUUAUGUGAGUUACGUGAUUCUUAUAAUUGGAUUAGCAGAUUUAGCGUAGUGGUUAUUAGUUUUGGAUCUACCGUUCCCAAUUUUAGCUCAUCAAAAUCGGUUCAAGGCUUGUUAAGAUUGCGGCGGGAUGGCCUACGAUCUUCAGAUUCACCGAGAAGACAAUACACUACCUCAAAUCCGGAUUUGAGAGGGGAAUGUUCUAUAUAAUAGCAUAUAGAGAAAAUAUAGAAAUAAGUUCAAAUGUUAUAGUAGAAAACUAACUCUAAUGACAUAAUAUAUAUGCCGUAUUGUGAGGGUUGUCUCUAGAUCAGUUAGCAACUUCAAUCUCUCUCGUUUAAUAGGGAGAUUACGACAUAUGCAUCAUUGCAAGCAGUGACGGAGGCAGAAAAUUUAUUCAGGAGAGUCACAGUUAGACUACUCUUUAAAAUUCAAAUUUCAUAAGAGUCAAUAUUCUGUUUUGGUAGGGGUCAACAAAAUAUAUUUGGUAAAGAAUAACAUUAUUUAAAAAAUCCAUGGGUGUCAAUUGACCCCCCUCAUUACCCUCUACCUCCGCCACUGAUUGCAAGGUCAUCUCAAAGCCAAAUCAACUUCAAUCAUUCUUUUAUUAUUUUGCCACCUCUUUCCGUCGACCAUCUUUUUCAACCAUCGAUUAGUAUAAUCUUCCGUAUAUAUAUAUUCUGAAAAUGACAGAAUUAUAAAUGUCUAAACCCUCUAACGUCGCUUUUUGAAAAUUGCAUUUCUGGUUUAAAUAUUUCCUGAUAAGUGAUAAAUCGUAUAUAUAAUUAACAAGAAGUACAUAGUACGUAUGUGCAUGUAUGUUACUUUAUAGCUUAUACGUAUGUGAACAUGUAUAAGCUUUUUCCUUGCAAGAUACCAGCCUUAGGCUGUUAACUAAUCAGUGUCUUUAUUUUUGUUUAGUUUGGGAUCUUAGAAAAUAAUUAGUCAAAAUACAGGACUCUAAAAUAAGAAAAAUGGUUUAUAAGUCGUUGAAUUUUUGUUUACAGUGUAUAACGAAAAAUAUCUCUGCUUUUUCAUUUGUAUAACCUCUAGAAUACUAUGACAUAUAUACGAUCGGAGUCGAUGCUUAUCAUAUAACAUUAGUUUAAUCAACAAAACUACAAAACCUAAUCGAAACUCCGUAACAGUUCAACGCAAGAUCUUGAUUUCUGACGGAUUGUAAUAUAUAAAUCUAAAAAGUGAUUAACACGGUUUCUUAAAUUAUUGGUACAGAUACAGCGUUUAAAUCAAACAUAUAUAUUUCUAACAUGUAAUAAAUAUUUAAAAUGUAUAGUCUCUAAUAUUUUCGAAUUUUUUUUAAAAAAAUUAUACUAAAUAAAAUAAUUAUAUCAAUAUUAAUACAAAAUUACAAUAAUUAAUCCAAAGAUACAAUAAUAUGUAUGUAACAAUGUAAUUCAAAUUCCUAAAAACAUGUUUAUAGAUCAUAAAGACAUAAAGUAAAUGUAAUUUACAAUAUUAUUUUUAACUUUUUCUUUAUAAAAAUUUACAUUAGUUUUUCUACAAGCAGACGUACUACUCCCUUUCAAAGGUUUUAGGCAGUCCAUUCACUUUUCAAAGCUAUUAGAAUCACUAGUGUUUCAUUAUACUGUUUAUUAUGUUUUUCCCACUUUUUUGUAGUGUUUAUGUUUUGUCAUGAAUGAGGAUUUAAAGAUGGUUUCUCCCAUUUGGUGAUUCCCCUGCUUUUUAAACAUUUCCCAUUCAAUACUAAUAAGCUUGAUCCCUGAUCCGUAACGCUUAGAUCCGUUUUUUCCAAUUCGAAGCCUGAUCAAGUGGACAAGUCGAUAAAACAAAAAUCGUUUAUGCAAACAACCGGGGGUCCCUUAGACCAUCUUCAACCAGGGUGCUUAAGGGGAAUGCUUAGCUUAAUAAAUAUUUAAAAAAAAAAAAAUGGGAUUAAUAUAAAAAAGCGGUGCUUAAAGAGGAGGUAGAAGAACCGGGUGCUUGUGGGACACGUGUUGGAUCUUGGUCGAAUUGGCUCGAUCCUCUCUCUCUCGUCUUCGUCGAAUUGGCUCGAUCGCCUGGUUCGAUCGGUACAAAAUCCAGCCCAAGGUCAAGAACUCCUUCUCAGACAUGUUCCGCUGCUACAGAGAUGUCAUGAAGAUGUUCAUUUCGUCGGCCCUCUGCAGCUCGUCUCCUAUCCUUCGAUCCAGGUAACCCGUCUCAGCUCUCCUCCGCCAUGGAAUCAAGUUUUUCCGUCGCCGGAUCCUCCACCAUCGUGCUCCAGAUCCGGGAGAGAAAGCUUAAAACAAAAGCCCAAACCAUGAUUGAGACCUAGAAAACUAAACUCUGAUCUCUGGAAUCAAAAACCAAACCGUGUAUUGAAAUGACUGCAAGACUUUUGUAUUUAUUUUCUUUUUUGUUGUUUAUUGAUGAAAUCAUGUAUUUUAUUAGUCUACGAUUUGAUAUGCUCCAAAUCUUGUUUUCUUUGGGCCGACGAAACGAAUAGUCUUAAGGUUGUUGUUUUCAAGAUAUUAGGAUUAGUGGGCAAUAAAAAAAAAUGCCAUCUUUGACUUAUGUUUAAGGUGUGCCCACUAGUGGCGCCGUCACCAUCUAAAACACCACAGUUACUUUUUGACUUACAUGGCUA